UACAGCCAUAUCACGUUGAAACACCAGUUCUAAUCCAAUCACCAAAGUUAAGCAAUGUAAAGCCUGAUCAGUACCUAGAUUGGUGACUGCUUGGGAAUACCAGGUGCUGUAAG